rnacentral:sRNA from 1 species
AGUGGUUGCUGCCGCGGUUGCUCUGCUUGUAAGGCUGGCAUGGAAUACUGGUCGGGGUUCGGGAGUGAGCGGACGGAAGAAUAGGGGAUGCUGCGGCGAUGACAGGACAAGUUCAAACUUGGGACAAGCGGUCUGUGGGCUAGCUGCGAAGUCAAUCCGCCGCUUUGACAUGGAUAACAUAACUGAUACAAGUUGUGCAAGGGGUGAUGGGCAGCCAAGCGUUGUUGUUUCACGCGAAAGGUCACCAGCAGUCCCAUAGUUAUUAUGACCUUUGGGACAUGUCAAUAUGGAUGGGAAUCCUGUUUCGUCCUUGUGGGCGGGAUCUUCGUGUUUCCAAAAAGAUUUACCCAUGCAGUUGAUGCUUGGGGCGGGCG